rnacentral:misc_RNA from 1 species
UGUCAACGUCACAUCUUUCUUGCCGUGGUUGUAGUUGUACCGAAAUGAAAAAUUCUGAAAAAUAUUCCUUCUAAUGUCUUUAUAAAUUAAUAAUUGACUUUGUAACAGCCAAAAUCAUGCGUCGGGUUGUUUUGAUCUUUGUCACACUAAUCUUGUGCGUUGCGGCGUGGGAUGACGGUGAUUUUGAAGUGUUUGACGUGGUCGAAGAAGUUAACCAGAAUUUCUAUGAAUUGAUGGGAGUUUCUCAGGAUGCAUCUUCUUCAGAAAUCAAGUCAGCUUUUAAAAAGCUUACUUUGAAGCUACAUCCAGACAAGAAUGAUGCUCCGGACGCGGACGUGCAGUUCAGGAACCUAGUUUCUGUUCAUAAUAUUUUGAAGGACCCUGGGAAAAGAGAGAAAUACAAUGAAGUCCUCAAGAACGGUCUACCAAACUGGCGGUCUGCUGUAUACUAUUACCGCCACGUCCGUAAGAUGGGCCUGGCGGAGGGCUCGCUCAUUCUGUUCAUUAUUGUCACUUUCGGACAGUAUGCUGUCAGUUGGGCUGCUUAUGCUGAGAAGAGAUACACUGCUGAACAAAUCCUAAACACUCGAGGGAAGAAACACAUAAAGAAAUCGGGUUUUGACACCGGUUUAUCGGACAUAUUGGAUCAGCUGCCGAAACCCAGUAUCAAGGACACAUUGCCAUUCCAAAUACCCCGUAUGGUAUGGUGGACCAUCAUGGCCAUACCAAGAGGAAUCUCAGAGUUCAAGAGGAGAAAGAAGGAACAAGAAGAAGAAGCAAGGAGACAGAAGAAGAGAGAGGAAGAAGAGAAGGCGCGUGCGCAGCGCGAGGCGGCGGCGGCGGCCGAGGCUAAGGAGCGCGGCGCCCGGCGGCGGCGGGGCUUCGUGCCGCCCGAGCGGGCCUGCCUGCUGGACGCGGGGGACGAGCCCGAGGGGGACGCUCCGCCCCAGAGGGCUGCUCCGGCCCCACCAGUGAUAACAGGCGGUCUGUGGACAGACGACGACCUGGCGGAGCUGGUUAGGCUGGUCAAGAAGUACCCCGGCGGCAGCGGCGAGCGCUGGGAGCGGAUAGCGGAGAGCAUGUGUCGCUCCGUGGCCGAGGUCACCCACAUGGCCGCCAAGAUGAAGGAGAACUGCUACAAGCUGCCCGGGCAGGAGCCAGAAGCACCUGUACUGGAACCGCCCAAGAAGGUGAAAACCCGCAAGACAGAGGAGUCGAGCGGCGGGAGCUGGUCGCAAGCGCAGCAGGCCGCGCUGGAGACGGCGCUGGCCAAGCACCCCAAGGGGGGCGCCGGCGACCGCUGGCAGAAAAUCGCAGGCGCCGUGCCGGGGAAGACCAAGGAGGAAUGUAUGCAAAGAUGUAAAUAUCUGUCGGAAAUGGUGAAGAAGCAGAAACAGAAAGAAGAAGAAGAACAAAACCAGAGCCAAGGGAACGGAGAGUGUAAAAACGACAACGAAGACACCUCGUAAUGUGCACCUUAUUUAUAUGGGCUUAACGUUGACCAUUGAAAGUGAUCUUAUGGCUUUGACUGAGAGUAAUAAUUCGUGACGAUUUUGUGGAUCAAAAUUUAAUUUCUUUAGUUUGACAGUUCAAAACUAGCGCUAUCUCUUUUUUGCACUAAGCGCAAGUGAAGGAUGGCAGUAUUUUGAGAGUUGUCAUACUAAAAUAUAUAUUAUAUAAGUUUUGUCCGGAAGCAGCACUUUUAAUAAAACUAUACUAAAAUUGCUUUUGUAUAAUGACAAUUUUAUUUGGAAAUGUGAAAAAUUAUCAUUUUUAAUGGAUUAUUUUUUAACUGUGGCAAUGUUAUUUUGAUUUAGCAAAAUUAUUCUAAAUCCGUUACUCCGUCCGAAAACUAUUCGUUUAAUUUUUACAUUUUUUUUGUAAACACCCUAUUCGGAUAUUUAAGCUUGUUGAUUCAACAUAUCGAAACGUUUGCAACUUGGCUAGGCCGCAGAAGUUUGUGAAGAAAUCGCACUGCUAUGAGAUAGCAGAGGGUGCAUAGACAUUUGAACAUCACAAGAAGUCCCGCUGUAAAGAUUGUACUCAUUGAUGGGUAUUUUGUUGUUAUUACGUAUUAGGUUCAACCUGUAUAUUUAUAAAACUCUUUUUAUGUUACGUAUAUCAUUAUGUGAUCUUACUGACGUAUCUACACUACACAUUUUAGGACGUAUCUGCUAUUUUAAGUGAAACUUACAAGCAAGACCAGUGUUUAUCAAAACUUACAAGCCCUGUUAUAUGUUCUUCUAAUAAGAAGAAAUUAUUAUUAUUAUUAUUAACUCAGGCAGGCAGUUUUCACUGAUAAGUGCCUGUAUUCAACUUUUCAGUUGUGUUUUCCUUUCUCUGUUUUAUGGUAAUUGUCCAAUUUGUUUUUGAAGGUGUUGAUGCUAGAAGCGGAGACCACGUCCUGCGGCAGCCCGUUCCACGCUGUUACUACUCUGUUAGUCAGGAAAUGCUUAUGGGGGUUGUUGUUUGAAAUUCUUUUACAGGGUUUGAGCGUAUGACCUCUUAGAUUGGUGUAAUUCUCUUGUAAUAAUUUUCAUAAUUACAAGAAUGUGUUUAUCAAAGGAGCUCGGUGGCGCAGCGGUAAACGCGCUCGGUCUGCGAUUGUUGAAGUUAAGCAACUUGCGCAAAGGCCGGUCAUAGGAUGGGUGACCACAAAAAAAAGUUUUUUGUCGAGCUUCUCCGUGCUUCGGAUGGCACGUUAAGCCGUUGGUCCCGGCUGCAUUAGCAGUCGUUAAUAACCAUCAAUCCGCACUGGGCCCGCGUGAUGGUUUAAGGCCCGAUCUCCCUAUCCAUCCAUAGGGAAGGCCCGUGCCCCAGCAGUGGGGACGUUAAUGGGCUGAUGAUGAUGAUUAAUUUAAACAAACCGUAUUUCUAUAAAUAAUUAAGCGCCUUGUUCGAAAAAUCACAUUCGGAUGUCAUUGUCCGCAUGAUCGCCAAAACUUCGCAAUAGACAAGUUAGUUUCAAUUCAAGUAAGAAUUUGUUGUUGAAUUUGUUAAAUUUUUAUAGGGUAUGAAAUUUAAAAAGUCGAGUUAUUGUGAAGAAACAGCCUCGGUGGUCUAGUGGUUAGAGCGUUAGGCUCACGAUCUGGAGGUCCGGGUUCGAUUCCCGAUGGGGACAUUGUCUAAAUCACUUUGUAAGACUGACCUUUGGUAAGGACUUGAUGAUGAUGAUGUAUAGAAUUGCGUUGCUACCUAUAUUGCUUCUCUUUAUUUUGAUCCGAAUAAUAAUAGGUGGAAGAUGUAAUUGUGCCUGGGUGUAAUAAAAAGGGUCAUCAUUUAUACCCGAAAAGAGAGAUAAAAGAUGCAUAAAUAUGGCUUCGUUCCGGACACAUUCCAACAAAUAA